AUGCCUCAAAAAGUUAAGGAGAUCAAGGACUUUCUGCUUACAGCCAGGUGAAAAGAUGCCAGAUCUGUCAAGGUCAAGAGAAAUAAGGAUAAUGUGAAGUUUAAAGUUUGAUGCAGCAGAUACCUUCAUACAUUAGUCAUCAUAGACAAAGAGAAGGCAGAGAAACUGAAGCAGUUCUGGCACCCUGGUUUGUUAGAGAAGGAGAUGAAAU
rnacentral:lncRNA from 1 species